rnacentral:lncRNA from 1 species
AUGUGUAUUUACUCAUUACUUAUUUAUUUAAACAGUUCAGAAACUAUUGCCAGAUGUUGGUAUAUUCUGCUUUCUGGAUCUGUGCUUAUGAAAGACUCCAUGGUCUUGCCUCCCUGCAGGACGCAACUAAGAUUUCAUAUUUCUGAAGUUUUGGUAAGCAGUUUGGAGGAAAAAGAGGAUGUGAUUGUCUUGUAUUAGAGCCUUCAGAAAUGAUUGUGGUAAGAACUUUAAAGAAUGCUGAAUUGUUGUGUUUUUUUUAAUAUGCUUCAAAUUAUAAAUUUAAAUGUGGUAGGUUUUCAACACUCAAGGAGGUUCUGUUAUUUGGAUCUUUUAGAGGUUUUAAGUAAUAUCCAAACCAUAUGCCACAAUGAAAUGUGUUUUCCUCUUUCAAAAUUUCUCUGAUUUCUUGAAAGAAUUUGAAAUAUGACACAAUUAUACAUAACUUUCCAAAUUUGGCAAUGUAUUUUACUACCACUUCAUCAGAAAAUUAAAGUCUUUGAAAAGGGACCAUGAUUUUUCAAGUGUUUUUUCAUUUCCCAUUCAUUUUGACUAAUAGUCUGUAAUCAUCCUAUACUAUGACAAGAAGGU